AAUUUCAUUGAGUAUGUUGUUGUUGUAAAGGAUAUUGAAUGAAUGCAAGUACAAAAGUUACAACAACAACAUACUUACUGAAAUUCC